ensembl:lncRNA
AUUUUCAUUGUUAAUAUCAUAUGUAAUCGCGUUACACUUACAUGCUCUAAUAAUCACUUUUAUCAGUGUUGCUAAUAAUCUAUGGCCUACUGCAGGGUUUUUCAGUCCAAGGACCCCCAAACUGAUGGCCGCCAUCUUUUAUUUUGAAGCUUUGCGUUCUUUAGACGUGAGCAUAAACGCGAUCUGAUUGGCUGGUGCCUGUCGUAUUUGCAUGCAAGGUGCUGUCGUAUGAACCGGCGCCCAGCUUCAGAGAGCGACUGAAUGUGUGUGUUGCGGACUGAAAGAUAACAUCUUCUGCAUCAAUUUAUCCGUUCGCUACAAUAUGUUGGACUCAUGUUAAUGUGUAUUUAAAGACAAUAAAUACAAUUCUGAUUCUGAAGACAUUUCAAUUUCUGGAAAAAAAUGGGUUGAUUAUUAUAAAAAAAAAUAAAAAAAUGUCUUAUCAAUCAAAAAUUUCACAAUCCCCCUGUAGUACCUCUGCGCACCCCCUUCUGGCCUACUGUGAGUGAAUGUUUACUCUAUUAACUGUAUCUACUGCAUCAUCUUGGCUCUAAUAUGUAUAAUAGGAGUCUUUUUCCGGCAGUUCUUAACUAGUUAACCUGAUUUAAAGUACUUCUGGCAGAUUCGCUGAAUAAUUUACCACCCUUAAUGACCCUAGUAGAAUUGAACAUUAAAUUGUAUUAUGCAUGUAAAUUACAGCAGUUAAAAGGAGGCGUUUUAUUGGAAGUGGCUGUAGCUGUCAAAUUGGGAACUAUGGCACAUUAUCUGUCUGCUGAACACAUAUUUAUACGUAGAAUAAAUUGUUUCAUGCCUGAGUCAUUAUGUCUGUAAAGAACUUUAGUUUUGUCAUCCAAAAACGUUAUAGUGCUGGAAACUAGAUCCCCAUGGAGACUCAAGUAACAUAAUGCAGAAGUGUUAUUGAAGUGGUUACUGUGCGACUGUCAGAGUGGGAGACUGGUAAAAAUGAGGUGUUAUCGGUAUAUUUGAAGAUAUUGGUUCGGCACCUUCGUGGUUUUGUCAGUUUGAUAUCAUGGUGUCUUUACCAACGUCUGACACUCAGGCAUUUUCAUUUGUUUCAACAGCAUGCGUUGAACUCAAGACCCGUGGGCCAAAUCCCAAAAAACAUGUCAUUGUAUGAGGCCCAAGCAUGAAAGGCAUACAAUUGUCUUAAAAUAAAAGAAUGCCAAUUCAAAGUAUACAGGGACUACAGACUUCAUCCCUCACAAUGCAUCUGAAUUUUAUAUCCCAUAAAAUGAUGGCCUCCUGCCGCUAAUAGGCAGUGUUGUUUCAAUAUUGGCGUUUAACUAAACCGUUUUUUCAGCAAGUGACUUAAUUAAUAUGAACAACAAAGGCAAUGUGGAUACAUCAAGUAGAAGCAAAAACUUGUCUGUUAUGAGGCAGUGUUGGUGAUAAAGGAAUACAAAUGAAGUUCUAGCAUAACUUUAGACAAGAAGGCUACACUGCAUGACUAAACUGGUGGAUUAUUUGUCAAACAUUUGCCAAUAACUAACUAAUUUGCCAAUAACUUGUCACGCAUUGCUCACUUUUCCUGGUGGUCAUCAAUCAGAGCUGUCAAUUAGGACAUCAGCUGUUGAGAUCAUUACAUUGUAUUACAGGUCAUUUAGCAGACGCUUUUAUCCAAAGCAACUUACAUUACAUUUUUAACCAAUGGCUUUUUACAUUUUUGCCUGGGGAGGAAUUAGGGGUUAGGUGUCUUGCUGAGAGGCACUUCGACAUGGGACAUGGAGCAGCCUGUACUCGAACCACCAACCUUGCGAUUCCCAGCACACCCUCUCUAUCUCUGCGUAACUUAUUGGUAUAAGAAUAAAGUAUUAAAUCUUUUAAUUAAGUUUAAAAAAGAAAUUAUUGUAACUCUAAAUAUAAUGCAGUAUUAGUAUACUAACAGAAGACUAUUAUACCCUCAAGCCCCUUAACAAGUGUCUUAUUUUAUCCAAAACCAUUUCAACAUUUUCUGAACACUCCAUGUUUCUAAGAGCACAAACACAACCUGCAUUCAGAGCCAUAAGGGUGGGAGUUGGAGAAUUGUUUUUAAACAUGGCAUGUAGACAUAGAUAUAGUAGAUGCCAGGUAAGACAUGCUGUAUGUGGUCUUGUGCUGUUUUCUCAAAUAUGAGUACAGUGUACCAUCUAAUGAGGUUCUUAUUUGUCUGUUCAAAUGGGAGCAAGGAACCUCAAUCCUGUUCGAUAUCAUGCAGGCUAUGUGGGUCACAAAAUCCACAUCGACCAAAACGGAAAAACUGGUGGUUUGGUGUGACUCAUGUGCUUGCAAUGGAUUUCUUCUCAAGCAAAAUUGUUGAACAAGCGACUAUGCCAGAGAAGAACAACCUCACCAUCUACAAUGGCAUUUACGGGUAGUUGAAAACACGGUUUUCCUAACCCUAACAUAAACAUUAGACGUUCUGUCACAACAACUAAAAGCUCAAAUUUGGCAUUGACAUGAGAACCCAUCCAUAAUGUGUAUUUUUAUAGUAUGAAAUUGAAGCAAGGUCUUAGAUUGCAUUAAUGCAGAAACCCCCUUUUAAGCAGCAAGUUAUCUCGCCUCCACACACCUGACAACACAAGACCAACCACACAUGUUUUACAUAUAGCAAUUACACCAUUAGCCUCAAAGUAAAUGCCACUGUUUCUAUUUUGGUUAUGUUAUUCAAUUAUUUCUCAGAAGUGCAGUAACGGAGAAUGAGAUGUGGGACCAGGUCCGAGUGGAUCAUGGAAAAAUAGCUCUACUUAACUCUUUUCAUGCAGUAGAGGUUAGCCAACCACCGCCACAACACAGCAAGGUCACUAUAUCGGCAAACACCAUCAACAAAGGUGAUGGUGGUGGCUAAAAAUUGUUUACACAUAUUUAAUGAGGUUUUGCUGAUUAUAAAGUCAACAUAUGAUACAAACCUUAAAUUAGUGUGUCAUGGUGGAUGA